rnacentral:lncRNA from 1 species
AAAAAAAAAAAAAAAGUUGAACCUCAAACUUGAGGGCCCUCAUAGCCUCGUCCCUAGAGUUUUGUGAGGAAGGUAAAUCGCGGGAUGUGUCCCAAUAGGUUAGGGAACAAGAACUGUCUGUACACUACGCCUACAAGGAGUCCAAUUUCAUGUCUCAGGAAUCGAACCGCCAAACUGCGGCUGCUAGCAAGGUGUGAGAUAACCUCACUCACGUUCUUUGCACCACUGGACUAUGCCCCGAGGGCGUUUUAUGUCAUUUUGAAGUUGGCCUGAAGAUGUCCCAAGAGCAAGAAUGUAGUUAAGCCAGCCCCCGUUAUUUUAAAUUAUAAUUUUUCUCUCUUUUAUUUUUAAUCACUCAAUCUUUCAUAAUCUUAUAUUACACAUAAAUCAAAAACUCUUCUUUCUUUUUCAACCACACAUUCUUCCAAAAAAAAGAUAUAUAUAUAUUUCAAAAAUUAUAAUACCAAAUAAUGGAGACCAAACGGGGUAUAAAUAACUCGCGAUAUCACGACAUGUUUUUAGAGCAUCUUCAAUGCAUUUCUGUCUAACUAUCAGCAAGUUGGAAAUCGUGUUUCAUUAAUACAAACCCAAGUUUAUGAAUGUCCUCUAUUGGAUUCUAUCUAAACUCAAUACUAUUGUUUAAAACAAAAACAACUCACGUAUAAAUCUACAUAGAAAAUAUAAACGUAAGUAGAAUUUUCAUGAGUUAUAAUGUCGAAAAGAGUUUCUAAACUUAGACGGAACUCUAGAUAAUUUUAGUUUAUUCUUUCAUCACGUCAAAUUGAUAAUUUUCAUAUUAGCUUGCAAUUGAGAAGAAUCGCAGUGAAAAAAGACCUAACCAAAUGGCAUGGAAAGAAUAUUUUGAAUACCAAUCAUGUUUCACAAAGGAUUCAAAUGUCUCUGAAAGUAGAAAAGCAAAAUUUGUCAUGAUUCGGACGAUCCUAAGUUUGGGCCACCAAUAUUUGAUUUUUUCAAAGUCAUAUGAUUCUUCCAACGAGGCCAAAUUUUCCAAUUGAAAACUUAAAAAUAGAAAUGCGGAGUGUUUAGGCCAAUAUUGACUAGUUUGUACGAACAUAUGUGGUGUUUUAGUCAAGAAACUUGAGGUGAAAGGCCUAAAAUCUGUAAAAUUUAUAAAAAAAAAUAUUGGUUAUAGAUAUUCGAUUUUUAUCAUUUUAAAGUAACAAAACAUAUCAAGAAAUAAAAUGUUUGUUAAAGUAAAUCUCGUUGAUAUGACAGCAAAGGCUUAUAAUAUAUAAAAAAUUACCUGAUUAUUGUCGUUGUUCAAUUUUUUUUUUUUUUUUUUUUCAAAAUUUUUUUAAUUGGGUCAUUCUAUUUGUCAUUCAUAGAUCGAAAAUUUAUUAUUUCUUUCUAGUUUAUUUAUUUUACAAUUUCCAACUUUACAGAUACUCUAUUUAUAUAUAAUGGUGGGAGGGUUUGUAUAGUUUGUACUGGUCCAUCAAUACCCUCAAAUUUUAUUAUUCUUUUGUCUUAAAAUAUAUGUACAGAAUUUUAGAAAAAAAUAUUAUAAGACCAAAUGGGUAAUAAUUUAAGGAUUUCUAUUAACUUGAUAAAUUUUUUAAUGUUCAUUUUUUCAACAAGCAAAUCAUGAGACAAUUCUUUUGACCAAAAAAUACCAAUUCUAGAACAUAACAAAAUAUAAUAUUUUUCGAUGUCAAUGUUAGUAUCCAAUUCAUGUCCCAUAUUUCUAGUAUUGAGAAUUCUUUUUAUUUUUAUUUUUGGUAAUUUUUCAUUCAAAUUUCCAUGCAUUCACAUGAAUCUAAACAUUGGUGAUGUACCCUGACCCGGGAGUCGAAUAUUCACACUAGCACUGGCACCGAUAGGUUUAGCGCUCAAAACAGUCGAAGAAGGAAGAUAUGAUAUUUUAAAAAUAUGGACAAGACAUCGACAAAUACUAAAAUACCACACACGUUUAUAAUGAUUUAUUUCUAAUCUAUUUGUAACUUUUGUUGCAUUGAACAAUAUUGCUUAAAAAUUAUUAGAGAAUUUUUUUCUUCAAGUGUACAUAUAUGCCUAUGAUGUUUUCCAUUAAACACUGGACACAUAGAAUUUAAUUUAAUAAAUAGAUGAUCCUUAAAUCUUUAUAUGCUCUAAGACCUUUACGUUGAACCACGACUUAGGAAAAUUCAAAUAACUUAAAAAAAUUAUUUAGUUUAUCUAUAUCUUCAAUGCAAAAUAGUAUGAAUAUCGUGAAAUUUAAAGAAAAUCAUCCAUGCAUGUCUACAUGUGUGUGUGAAAUGAUUUAAAGAAGGUCAACAAAUAACUUGAAAGAAAUAAAUAGUGGUAAAAUCAAUUUUGAUAUAUGCAUUAUUGCUUUUAUUUUGAACCACGACUUCUAAAAAUUCAAAAAGAAGAAUUUAUUUAUUUGAUUUAUAUCUUCAACACAAAAUAGUAAAAUUACCAUGAGGUUUGGCUAAGGUCAUCCAGACGUGUGUGUGUAAAAUGACUUAAAGGAAGGUCAAUAAAUAACAUUAAAGAAACAAAUUGAGGUAAAAUAAAUAUCGAUAACAUCAAAUAAAAAAACUGAGGUAAAGUCAAUAUCGAUACAUGCUUUAAGAGCUUUACUUUGAACCAUGACUUCUAAAAAUUCAAAAAAAAAAAAAGAUUUUAUUUUUUGAUUUAUAUUUUCAACAUAAAAUAGUACAACUAUCAUGAAAUUGAACGAACGUCAUCCAUGAAUGUGCGGGUGAAAUGAUUUAAAGAAAGGUCAAUAAAUAACAUCAAAGAAACAAAUGGAGGUAAAAUUAAUAUCGGUAGAUGCUCCAGGACCUUUAUUUUGAACCAUGACUUAUAAAAAUUCAAAAAGAAGAUUUUAUUUUUUGAUCUAUAUCUUCAACAUUAAAUAGUAAGACUAUCAUGACAUCUGACGAAGGUCAUCCAUGCGUGUGCGUGUGAAACGAUUGAAGGACCGUGUUGUUCUACCAGAUCUAGUAAUGAUCUGGUAGAGCAGCUCCACUCACAAUUGGGGGUGGGGAUGUGUGUUUUUUGACAUUUUUUUAAUAAUGGGGACCUAUUGCUGUGAGAGAGACUCCUCUACUGGAUCAUGACCAGGUCUGGCAGAGGAGCAAAAUCCAACGAUUGAAAGGUCAAUAAAUAACAUCAAAGAAACAAAUGGAGGUAAAAUUAAUAUUGAUACAUGCUCUAAGAUCUUUACUUUGAGCCACGCCUUCUAAAGAUAAAAAAUUUAUUUGAUUUAUAUCUUCAACAUAAAAUAGUACGAAAAUCAUGAAAUCUAACUAAGGUCAUCAUGCAUGUGUAUGAAAUGAUUCGUAGAAAGGUCGGUCAGUAACCUCAAAGAAACAAAUGGAGGUAAAAUCAGGCAAAAGACUUUGACCGAGAAAUUUAAUUUAAUUACCAUUCUAUUUAUCAUGUUUCAGGGAAUGAAAAAAACAUUUGUCCAAGAGACCUAAUUUUACGACUGUCAAUGGAUUAAAUUUUGAUCCAAAUUCGAUAAAAUUAAUGGAAAAUGAAUUUAGGGUCUUAGUUUGAUAAUUCGAUCAAAAUUCGAAUCCAAUAAUUUGUUAACUAAAUAAAACGAAUAUGAAUAUAUGUUAAUCCGAUCCGAUAACAACUCGACCUGAUUUAUUAUAAUAAUAUAAUAUAUUUCAUAUAUUAUCGCAUAAUUUAUUACACAAUUUUUUCCAUUUUGAAACUUGUAUUAUACUUUAUACAUAAUUUUCAAAUAAUAAAUAAUGUUAAAUAAUAGUAUAAUAUUGUUAAUUGAAAUAAUCGAAGAGAUUUAAAUUUUUUAUUAAUAAAAAUAAUAUUAAUUAAUUAAUUUUAUAAAUUAAACACCAAGUGAGUCGAUAGUUGAAGUUGAUUUUAUUAUUCCAAACUUCUCACUUUCCACAUCGGAUAUUCACUAAAAUAUCAUAAAUUUUUAUGAUCUAUAAAUAGGUGGACAGAAUUGGGUAAAAAGCUAUAUGAGCCUUCUAAUUCUAGGACUUAGAAGUUGACUAAUAUAAAAUUUUAUCUUUCUAUUUUUUCAAUUUCGAAUCGAAUUAUUGGAUUGGAUAUCCGACAAUAUAGCUGAAAUGGUGGCGGAAUAAUACCUCAUUGUCUACCUGGUGAAGUUUGGCGUUUCUGUUACUCCGUUGAGUGUGUGUAACUUGAAAAAUGAGGACGGAGCUUUCUCCCCCGUUUUACCUCCGGCGUGAUAAUCCGUAUAUGAUAUUUGGAAAAUAAGGACGGAAUUCAGAUGGCUAAGAAAAAUAUUAUCUCCCAUACCUGUGUCGCCUUUGGAAGUAUUUAUAGACACCGAAAGCAAGGUGUAUGUCGGGCUGUCGUGGUGCUAAGUGUCCCACGUUGGCUUUUCCCCCACCCCACGUUUUGAGUGGGGGGUCUUUAACUUCCCGUCUGGAGGUUGUGUCUGUGGUAACCACCAUGGAACCUUGUCAAUUCAUCAGAUAUUUUAUGACUAAGUAUUGGGAUGGUCAUGUAAGUAAUUCCAUGCCAGUUGACGAUCUUGUGUAUGGGUGGAGCUUUCACGAGGGGUCGAUGGUCUCGCAUUGAGGUUGAGUGCCCUUGGGGGGUUGACAGUCUUACGUCAGCGUGUAAUGUCUUAUCUUGUUCGUUAUCGCAGACGACUAUCUACGCCAUCCAAUAUCAAUAGCAAAUCGAAUAUGGAUUUAACAAUCAAAUAUUUGUUGAAUUAUCGUAUUAGAUCGAAUAAUUAUUCUUAACAGAUCGAAUCAAAUUUGGGAAGAUCCGUUUCAUUUACCACCCUACCUAAUUAUAUUGAUUAACAAUGUUGGCUUAGUUUUCAAAUGCAUAAUUGAUACUAAUAUUAAAUGAAAUUAAAUAAUAUAAUAAAUAACAUUACUUCUUUUCAAACUUUAGCAUCAAUACUUCGGCAAAGGAUUCACACCAAAUUUCUAUCCGAUAUAGUGGAGUUUGUUUAUCAAAAGUCGAAAACUGUGGGUACUUGUAAUUAAAAUUUCAACUUGACAAAUAUAGGCACCCCCGUGACCCAAGAGAAAUUUUUCUUACCAUCUAACAUCACGAUUGAUUUAGACCUAAAAUAGACAAGAAAGCAAAAUGGUUUCGGUGGAACACUUUGAAAUGUUUUUCAAAUGGUCAAAGGUAGUGUCCAUUUUAAUUGGGUUGUGUGCAUGUUUGAUGGCUAAGAAUAAAAAUCUGCUUAUAAUAAGUUUGUUAAUGAUUAAAUAAGUAAAAAAAUAUUUACUCAAUUGACUUAAACUUAGCCUAACAUGGUCCACGAAAAGACGUAUGCAAAAGAAUUUUGCGUUUGGUGCAUCAAAUUAAAUCGUACAAAAAAUUUAGUAUAAAAUGUAAUAGAUGGUACUAAAUAAUAUUGUUUGACUUUUUAUUCAAAAGUUAUAAUAUAAUCCGGAGCGUGAAGAUGAGUCUAAUUGAAUAAACGAUAUAGUAAAUGAUUUUUUUUAAAAUUAAAUAUCAAAUAAAAUUUUUAGGGUUAUAAAAAGUAACGGUUCAUAAAUAACUCAUAUAAACCAUCGUGGAAAGUUCUUUAGUUGAGAAUUAGAAACCCUCAUUCCAUACGACCCAGAGCAAUAACUCUUACAACUUUAUUUGCUAAAAAUCUACAUCAAACUGUCAUGGGGCUUUGUAUAUAAAUGGGAAAUUAGUUAGUGUUUCCGUAAUACCCGACCUAACCAACCAACUAGGAUUCGAAUAGUACAAACAUAACUUUUUGAUGUGGAAAACAUGGAAGUAACAAAGUCCUAUGUACCAUGUGACAGAUAUCUUCCUACAAAGAGCAACAGAGAGACAUGGGCACUAGAAAAGGACAUCCGUACCUUAAUUCUGAAGGUAGUAAAAGAAAGAAAGGAAGCCGGGUUCGAAAAGGACUUAUUGCAAAUGCUUCUUGAAGGGGCAAAAAACAGUGAAUUAAGCCCAGAUGUUCUUGAUCGAUUCAUUGUUGAUAACUGUAAAAACAUUUACUUGGCUGGAUAUGAGACUACUGCUGUUUCAGCUACAUGGUGUCUCAUGCUUUUGGCCUCGAAUCCGGUGUGGCAGGAACGAGCUCGAGCAGAGGUUGUCGAAAUUUGCAAGGGCCAAAUCCCGGAUUCUGAUAUGAUCCGAAAGAUGAAACUGGUUAGUAUGCAUCGUCGACUUAUAAUUUUUUUUUCCUGGAUUGCUUCUUAAUUUUCUAUGACGAAUGAGAAGUAGAAUUUGACUUUUCAAGCCAUGCCAAAAGAGCCUAAAACUUGAAGUUUCAUGAUAACACGUUAAUUUUGUCAAAAGAGUAGCUCAUAUUCUUAUACGUUAAUUAUCAAUUUCAUCUAUCCCCUAACACGCAAUUUCCUCCACCUCUAAGGCUCCUGAUUCUAAAAUCCGAAGGGUUUUUGUGUGUAGGAGCCGGUGGGGAAAGGUCUUUUUCUUUUUCUUUUCCUCUUCUUCCUUUCCUUUUUCCGCUCUUUUAGUUAUGUGACAAAAAUAUAGACAUUAUUGACACAUAUACUGUUAGAAAAGAUAUCACAUGCAGGACAUGUAACAGUUUGAUUUUUUUUUUAAAAAAAGAAAAAAGAAAAAAAAGAAGACGAGAUAACUUCGUGUAUACCUACAUAUAUCAUACACUGACUGCCAAUCUUUUUAUGUAAAUUUACAGCUAACAAUGGUGAUCAAUGAAUCAUUACGCCUUUACCCUCCAGUGGCAGUUGUCUCAAGAGAAGCUUUCAAGGACAUGAAAUUUGGCAACAUUAAUGUUCCCAAAGGAGUAAAUGUCUGGACCUUUGUCUUGACACUACAUACGAAUCCAGAAAUAUGGGGCCCCGACUCGUACGAUUUCAACCCGGAUAGGUUUGUAAAUGGGAUCACAGGUGCAUGCAAACUUCCACAUUUGUACAUGCCAUUUGGGGUUGGCCCUAGGGUUUGUUUGGGACAGAAUUUGGCAUUGGUUGAACUCAAAGUGCUUAUUGCUCUAAUUUUGUCCAACUUCAGCUUCAGUCUUUCACCAACUUAUAUUCACUCUCCUGCUUUGAGUUUGGUGAUAGAGCCUGGCAAUGGUGUUAACUUAUAUUUGAAGAAGUUGUAAAAGUACUUAGUUCUAUAGGAAUUACCGUGUUCAAGAUGUUGUGCAAUACAAAAGUAGUUCGUUCUGUUCCUCAUCGAAGAGAUUGAAAAUUUGCAUCAUUGUUCAUUAAUCUUUAUAAUAAGCAAGUUAGUCUUCUACAUUUCAUUGACAUCUUCGUUAGUUGUCAUGUGAGCAUUAUCAUCAAAGCUAAGAAGAAAAGCUUGAUUCAUAAGAUGAUAGCAAUUGAACCAUAAUCAAAAGACUAUAUUGAUGAUGGCUGAGACGAGGAGUCAUGUAAAACUAUUACUGUUAAAUACAUAGUUCUCGUACAAAAUUUUCAAAUAUUUCAAUUUGUUUUUCGUGAUGAUUAUUACUAUAUUUUUCGAUGUUGGCAAGUGAAAACACAAGAAAGGUUCGAAGAUUGUGGCGAGGUGAUACAACAGUCAUCACAAGUUGCAAGAAAGCUAUCCUCUGUCACAAUUCGUUGAGUAAAAAUGAUAUUCUGAAAAAUAGGUUGACGUGCGAUUUUGGGGGGUCAAAAUUUGCUAGUAUCCGUUAGGUUCCUUGAAUUAUUCAGUUAUCCAGUGACAUAAUAUCUUAUUCAACAGAACAAAAAUAAUAAUAAUAAUAAUAAUAAUAAUAAUAAUAAUAAUAAUAAAAUUCUUCCAAAUUAGAGAUCUUCAAUAAUAAUUAAUAACUAAACCCAAAGUACUACCCCAAAUCUCAAGGGGCAAAACCCAUCAAUUUUCUGAAAUUUUCGUGCAUGUUACUCUGUGUGUGAAUUUUUCUUUGAUCUUUAAGAUGCUGCAUGCAAAUGUGUGUGAAUACUGAAAGAUAUAAAGUUUCAUGCAUCUUUGAAGUUUUUUAGGAAAUUUCCAUUUAUAUUUCUUGGAUUUCAUUUCAGUGCAGGAAGAACUAAGAUGUUGGAUCCAGUAACAGGUGAUGAAAUUGGAACUGUUCUGAAUAUUCUUCAAUGGAAGAGGUUCAUGAAUUCGGGCUUAAUAAUGGCCAUGGCCAUUACUAUUCUUUUCCCUCUUCUUCCACCACCAAUGAUGAACAUACAAGUCAGGAGAAGUUUCAUCUUUUCGGCUGCCAGAAACUGAUUCAUAAGGCUUUCAGCGGUGGCAAACGUAAGUUAAUAUCCAUGGUUAGAAGUCGACCAUAGGCCAUUAUUGUUGAGGUUAAAAUUGACUUUUCCCUUCUGGUUACUACGUAUUUUUACAAACCUAGACGAAUCUGAAAUUCGAAAAAAUUUCAUUCUAGACUAGAAAUAAAUUCGAACAAAAAUGUGGGCAACGGUUAAUUUUGCAGCUGCGGACGUUGUACUUCGAAGGAACAAGCAGAAGUCUGGAGGUUUGCUUGCUGGUUCAAUUGUUAUAUGGCUUCUGUUUGAAUGGAUAGGCUAUCAUUUGAUAACUUUUCUUUGUCAUUCUCUUAUUCUUUCUUUGGCUAGUCUCUUCUUAUGGUCCAACUUGUCAGUUGUCCUACUCCGUUAACCGGUGAGUAUCUUCCGUUAAUCAAUUUUGAGAUCAACUCCAUGAUUUCUCUUUAAUCAUUAUGUGUAGUUCAUCGCAUCGUCAUUCCAUACCAUCGUCUUUCCCUUCUUUGUAUUAUGGAUAGGUCUGACGGGCUAAAUAAAUCUUCUUCUUCUUUUUCACCAUUACAUUGCAAUCAUUGAUCGUACUAUGUUUUUCCCUACUUAGUACCAUUGAUAGGUCGAGGUUAUACGAAUCUUUUUUCUUCAUUUUGUCCUGUUCAUUGUUACAUGGUUCAUAUCAUUUUUCUCUACUCUAGUAUUAUCAAUAGGAAGUGACUAUACAGUUUCUUUUUAUCUAUUUUGUGCUGUUCGUUGCCAUAUUGAUUCAUACUUGUGUGUUUUUUACUAGGUUCUAUGGUUAGGUCGGCUUUGAACUUUCCACAGAUUGUAUUACCAGGUGACUUGUGCACGAAUAUUGCACUCUUAUUGAGGAAUAGAUGUAACCAGGCAAUUGGUAUCUUUCACUAAGUAGCUUAAGGAAAUGAUUUGAAGAUAUAUCUGUGUACAUUUUUCACCUAAUGAGCUCUGUCACAUAUUUGAUAUUUCUUAAGAUAUAAAGUUCUAGGGGUGUAACGGUGAAGGCCCUCAAAAUUGGGCUUCAACCUUUAUUUCUUAAGAUAUGUACAGGGAUUUCGUACUGGAUCUGGGUUCUAUUCCCAAGCCCCACUGUCACAUCGAACUUUUAUGAUAAUAAAGUUUAUAUUAAACUGAAAUGCAGGCGGUUUUCGGCUUGUGGGUUGCGUCUACAGUCACCAGUCGGCAGCUGGUUCGACUUCUUGACCCUAGUAUACAUCAGCGAGUAUUCUUCCUGUCAACCCUCAUUCGAGACGAGAUCUUUUAGCAUAUGCUGCUCCUUUUUUCCCUUUUUUAUUUGUUUUGCUUUUAACUUUUGAGUUUGUGAGAGGUAAAAAGGGUUACUAGAACUCUGGACAGCAUUUUGGAGUGUGCAGAAUUUUAUUUAGUUAUGUUAACACAAUGUACAGAAUGUUUUUUCAGCAGUAGUAGGAACCAGGAUGAUGCAAAGUUAGAUUGGAGGAUCACCCCCCCCCCCCUUCCCUCCAACAGGGGGUGCCAAAUCGGUACCCUGGAAGAUGAGGAGAUUUUUCCAUUUUUUGUUUUUGAGUAAAGAAACUAGUCUACUAGGAAAAAAAGGGACGAGGAAGAGGAGGCAGAGAAGAGAGAGCAAACAAAAAAAUGCACAAAGUACAUCAGUUUGGCAUCUUUAGCAUAUUUAUAACAGUGCCUCGUAUUUCUAUGCUGGCAGUAUUUGGGAUGCUCUUGACCAUGCCAUUGUUGUAUGAAAAGUACAAAGACUGAGUUGAUUCUUAUGCUCGGAAGGCAACAGACAAACUCAAGAAACAAUAUGGCAUGUUGGACAAAAAGUCCUUCAGAAAUUACCCAAAAUUCCUUUCAUCAUGUACAAUAAGCAUCACUAAUAAUAAUGCAAAAGCUACCCUCUGAGGAUUUAUCAGCUUUAUUUUCUGAUGCUAGAAGUGCUACGAGUAUUAUUCUACCUUGGUUAAAGUGCUUUUAUGUUUCAAUACAGUAGCAACAACCAAUCAAUUGCAUUUUUCAUUUUCUCUUAACUCAGGUCAUGACUUGGUUUUCUUUUUGGGUUAUUUCUCCAAUAUACGUUCUUCAAACUUUAUGGUAAUCGCAAAGAACUGAUCUAUCAUUGCUUGUACCAUAAAACUAAGCAUGAUUUCACUGAUAUAGUAUUGUGCAUUGGAGUUCUACGAAACACUGAUAUUCUCUUUAUGCUCUAUGGAAGAUAUUCUUACUUCUGGUUAAGAGAUUGAAAAAAAUUUGUAAAUACUCAGGUAUAAGAUUUUAUUUUCAUCCAUGAAAGAGGUGGGCGGGAGGAGUUUCCAUUAAUCAAGUUGAAACGAGAUAACAGUACAAAAUCAUCCAGAAUUGUCUCAUUGAAAGAUAUCAUGAAGAAAUGUCUAGUGAUGGAAUUGUGUUUAUGUUUUUGUAUGGAGCCUCGGAAUUACCUUAUGGGUUACUUGAUACGAACUAAAAAAUCUCUUUUUGACAAGUUGCUAAUCCAAAUUAUCCACAUAACAAGUCCUUAGUAAAAUGGUCCAGGUCAUUCACUUUGCUUGUCAUAUCUGAACAAGAUAACUCAAAAUUAUAGUAUUCAGCUCACAAUGGUCUCGGCCUCAAUAACCUUAAUAAGGUAUUAGUAGAUAAAACUGCAGAGGUUUGUCUACAUAAAGCCACUCAAUAUAAUUCAUACACUAUAUGCCUUUUCCUGCAGCCUUACAGUAGAAUCUACAAAUCAUUUCUUAUAAUUCAGGAGUUUCUUAUAUUAAUUACCUACCAACAAACAACUGUGACAAAGUUUCGGAAUUGCAAGAUACUGUCACACAAGAAAUUCUACAGGAGCGUUGCUUCAUACCUUUGAUAUCUUGGAGGGUAGAAACGACUCCCACCACCCAAAUUCAUACUUAGGGUACGGAGCCGUCCACUUCUCUGGCUUUUCAAAGGCAAGAUCGACAGGAUUAGAAGCUAAAGCUUCUUCUAUACUGUCAGCUUCGUAGCUUUCUUGCAAAACCCGGUCGAGUCUUAGUUUCAUGUACCUAUCCAUAUGCAAAACCCAAGGAUUUAGAAUGAUUCUAAUUAUUCAAAUGUGGAAUCUUAAAGUAGGCACACUCAUUUCAACAGUUCUUUGCAAGUAUUAUUAGGACCAUGGUAACAAUGUGGCAAUGUGAUGAUCUUUGGUGGUCAGGGCCUUUAUAAAGUCAAGAAAGAGGCAGCUAAAAGAGUGGUUGUACAACAACUAGAAGAUCCAAAGCAACUAGAUUAUUAGCAAUGCGUUGAUCGAGGUUGAGUGGAACACCCCCAACAAAAUAUGUAUAGGGACUCGUAUAGUAAGAUUUGAUCAAGUUAUAUGCUAACGGUCAACCUAGGCCAUGCUUUGGAAAACAUAGGUGGAGUUCUAAAAAGAGUGAUGAUCAAAAUUAUCUUUCCAAGUACCACAUAUUGGAAUCAAGCAAUUAGGUUUAGACCAAACAUUUUAAUAAGAAAUAAAUCAAUAAUCACUUAAGUUUUGAAUGUGUAUUCUUACGUUAUCCAGGGGCCAUUGGUAGAAACAAGGGCCACGGCAGGCCUCUUUAGUCUCUUGGUAAUAUCUGGAAACUUAUCCAAGAACUUUGGUUCAAUCAAAAGCCAGAAAUCCUGCUCUAUGUUACGCUCUCCAUAAUUCCGAAGGCGCUCAAACAUUAGCUCCUUGAAAUGCUCUUCCUCAUCCAACAUGAAUUUUGCAUUCGCUACAACAAAAUAAUACUUCCUCUUCCCAGAUUGCUCCUGUUCCUGGGAAGAAAAUUUUAGAAUUGCAAGUUUUAGAAUUACCAUGUGCAGAUGUGCUUGUUUGUCUAAGCUUAAAAAAAAUAACUUAUAAGUGAGUCUACUUCCAUCAUAUCGUCAAAAUAAGUAUUUUAUACUUAUAAGAUAACACCAACUUAUUAGAAUAUGUUUAGGAACAAAUUUUCUCAAAAUUAUCCAAACAAUGCUAAUCUCACAAUCAAACCAAUAUUGACUGGACUCAACUUAAUAAAACCUUAUCCCAAACUCAUUUGAUACGGUGUAAAAAAGGCUAGUAACACUGCAGACAAUUAUAAUGGUAAUGGUUUGAUAUGUAAAAGUGAAAUAAGAAACAAGUGGCUGACCUUUUCAGUGGGAUCAGAGGAAUCCACCGCGGCUACGGCUGUUUUUACGGAGGUGGCAGAUUUCCAGGCGGUGGCGCCACUGAGUUUAGUGGGGGAAAUUAACAAAUGGAAUGAUUUUGUUGCAGGGACUAAGAAAGAUUUGUGGGAAUUGUGGGUGGGUGCAUUCAAUAUCAGGCCACCCAAAGAGCCUACAUUUAGAGAUGUUGAAGUUAACAUUCCCACCAAGAAUUAUUCAGAAUUUCUUGAAAAGAACCCCUUUUCUGGGUACGGAGGAGGAGGGCAAAUGGUGAAAAAAGUUGAUGAUGAUGAUAUACAAGAAUCUUAUCCGAUAUUUUCCAUUCCCCUUAUCCUUCAAUUUGUUUUUAAGAUUAAGCCCCGUUUGGACAAGUUAAAUUCUACUUCAUUUUUUUACUCUUAUUUUCAACCACAUAACUUUUUAUAAAAUAAUAUCACACGUAAUCGAAAAUUUUUCUUCCUUUUUCAAUCAUUUAUUUAAAAAAAAACUAUUAUUCCAUCAAUUUUCAUUUCAAAAAAUAGUGGCGAAACGGGGCUUAAACCACCGUUAGUUUUGUAAAUACUUUUGCAUCCAUAUGUCAUGUUUCAUUCCCAUUAUUUUUAAAAUUCAUUUUUUCUCCCAUUUUCUAUCAUGCACUUUUCGAUAAAAUAAUAUUAUAAAUAAAUUCAGAACAUUUUCAUAUUUUUUUAAUGACACAUUUUCUAUAAAUCUACUAUUCCAAAAAUGCAUUUUUUGCUGAAAAUGGGGCUCAAGCAUGCACCUAGUGUUUUUGAUGAAGAAUAAAAUUUUAAUUUAAGUUCAAUUCUAAAGUUAACAAUUAAUUUUAAUAACGUAUUUCGUGAAAUUCUCAAUUUUUUAACUAAACAAUUGUAGUGGUAAAAAUUAAUUUACUAGCCCAAGUGGCCCAAACCAUAGAAUAGGGUCCACAUACGAUUCAACCGCGUCAUCAUCGGCCCAACUCAUAUAACAAUCGACUCGAAUACACAAUCCAUGACCUACAUGUCAAUUCGAAAUCUCCAAUAAUAUAUCUUCCAGAUAGAUCACGUUACUAUCUAUCCAGAUCUGGUGAGAGUUAUCUACAAACGGAUCUGAUAUCUCAACUGAACAGAUCGGAUUAGAUUUGGCUCCAACCAACCAUGAAAUCUUGGAGAAUUCCCGCCAAUCCCUCCUAGACGGUUAUCCUACUCCUAUAAAUUCAACAGUCGGUCAAGCAUUCAGGUAUUAGAAUCCACUAGACUCUAAUUCAUUUUUUUCUUUUUUCCAUCGGGUAUUUAUCAAACUUUCAACAAGAUUUACUGACUUGACCGUAGGAGGAUCUUCAACCAACACCACACCGGUGUCCUUUUAAGAUCUUUUUACGGUCAUUUUCCUUUGUUCUAUUUUUCUUAAGUUCCACAGGAUUGCUGGUGGCCUAUCUGAUUCGAUUUCUUGGUUGUAGAACUUACCGUCUAUAAUUUGGCGCCCACCGUAGGGCCUUAGCAAUCAUUCUUACAAACGGGACUUUCAUCAUUACUAUUCGACAAUUAUCCUCGCCAUGUCAAGAACUUCUGAAACCCAUCGUACAGACAACUUCGCUAAUUAUACAUCGGAAGAAUUAGCUUGUUAGGAAGCAAAAUGAAUGAUUCGUCAGGAGGUGGAAGCAAUAAUGCAACAAGGAGAUAGCUCAGGUCAUGCUACCACUCUGCCUACCACUCAAACCUUGGCUCGUCCUAUCCAUCCAACAAACAUCCAGGCAAUCCAGCCGGUAGUUCUCCAGCAGAGUACUGUCCAUCCUGCCUCUACACACCCUCAACCUACCACUCUGUCUGGUAAAGUCACUGCACAGCUAGCCCAACUCAUCGAGUUGACAAAACAGAAUUCACAAAAGCUCGAAAGGCUAGAAGCGGAGAAUGCUACCAUCCGUGUGGAGAAUCGAUACCUUCAAGAAAGAGUGGAAUCCUUGGGAUACGAUUCAACAUUGCCACACCCAUCACAGUCGACUCCUUCACUUGACCAAAAUGGACUUAGGACCAUUGGUUCGAAUGUCCAAUUUGUCGUACUGCUUAACGGAGGAUCAGAAGACGCGCAACCACAGCCUACUAGUGGGCAGGACCUAGAAUUCGUACGAAAAUUAGCAGUGAUCAAAGUCAUGGUUCAACGUAUCCCAGGGAUGCCAGCGCCUAUCAAGAAAAGUACAACCAGUUGUUUCGCCGACUCUCCCCUUGUCAACGAAAUUACCCUGGUGAAAAUGCCAAAAAAAAUCAGCUUUCCUAAUAUGAAGUUAUACGAUGGGACAGCCGAUCCAGAUGAUCAUAUAGCUCAAUAUAGACAGAGAAUGUUUACCGUCGCUAUUCCAAAAGACCUUCAAGAAGCUUGCAUGUGUAAAGGGUUCGGCUCCAGUCUAGUGGGGCCGGCCCUACAGUGGUAUACCAAUCUUCCAAAUAAUUCUAUAUCAUCAUUCGCCCAACUAACUGAUACUUUUGUUGAAAAGUUUGCAAGUAGCAUAAAACUAGAGAAGCGAUCUGACGGCCUCUAUCAUAUAGUGCAAAGAGGAAAUAAGUCAUUGCGGGAAUUUGUCGAACGAUUCAAUCGGGAGAAAAUUUCCAUCCCUAGCUGUAACCAACAAACUGCUAUUUCUGCGUUUCGAAAGGGGCUCCUCCCAUACACUGAUUUGUAUAAGGAACUCACCAAAUACCCAUGCAACACAAUGGAGGAUGUCUUGGCUAAAGCUUGGGCUCAGAUUAAAUGAGAAGAGGAUGAUGCUAAUUUUAAUUUCACCAGACGUCAACCCAUCGAGAAGAGUCGCGAUAACCAAACAAGGCCGAGAAAUGGCCCGCUGAUACCUAUUCCCCUCCGGACAGGAGAGACACCAAACGUAGGGAACUGUCCGGACUAAUUGAACGACCUUCCGCAAGGACGAAGAUUGGGGUCCCCGAAUACAACCUCUUUAUCAGGCCAACAGAAUUAAUUACAGUAUUGAAGGGAAUGGGCAGCACAAUGAAUUGGCCUGGAAAGAUGAGAAGCUCUAGUGACCAGCGAGAUAAAAGUAAAUGGUGGGAGUUUCAUGAUGACCAUGGCCACCGUACAGAUGAUUGUAUUGCUUUGAGGUUGGAAAUAGUUGAACUAUUGAAGCAGGGGCGUCUUACAGACCUUCUAACCAAUAAAGGAAAGGAAAACGUCGCCAAACGACAACAACAAUAGCACGAUAACCAAAGCUACAAACCAACGACCGCACUAUCACAAGAUCGAACCAUUAACUUCGUCGUUGACAGAUUGGAAGUUAGUGGGAUAACAAGGGCAACGGCACGAAGGCAAGCGCUUCGAGCAACUCACCUCUGUCAAAAUCUAAGCCAAAUAAGCCAGUCAGACACACUGCAAAUCAUUAGCUUUACGACAUCUGAAGCUACGUAGCUACUCAAUCCACACCAUGAUGCUUUGGUUAUAUUUUUGAACAUCGCCAACUGCUUAGUCAAAUGCAUUUUGAUAGACAACGGCAGCAAUGUAAACAUACUUUUCCUGGAGACCGUUAAGGCUAUGAGAAUUCUAGGAGAAAACAUUACACGCCGGACGAUAGUGCUAAUUAGUUUCAGCGGUGAACAAAAGAAUACUCUAGGCGAGAUUGUUUUGCCUGUUUAUGUAGUAGGGGUUAACCUUCACACCCAAUUCCUCGUAAUGGAUAGUCCUUCAUCAUAUAAUGUUAUCUUGGGGAGGCAUUGGAUCCAUGAAAUGAAGGCCGUACCAUCAACGUUUCAUUAGGUACUCCGUUUCCCGACCAAAUGGGGAAUAAGAGAUAUUCUUGGUGACCAAAGGGAUUCCAGGGAGUGCUACCAGAAUUCACUCCGCUCUGACCGAUCUUCUUUAUAACAAUUACAGCAAUCCCAGCCGACCAUCCCAGACCAACAAGAUGUGGAAGAACUAGACGAAGUACAGAUCCACCCCGACUUUCCAGAUCACAAAACUCAAGUCGGAGCAAAGCUAGAACCAGAGCUCAGGCAGCGCCUUAUCAAGUUCCUCAUGGAACACCAUGACUAUUUCGCUUGGUCCCACUGACAUGACCAGUGUUGACCCGAAGGUAAUAACGUACAAAUUGAAUGUUGAUCCCCACUACAUUCCGAUCAAACAGAAGCGAAGAAGAUUUGAGCAACGAAACUGUAUCAUUAAUGAAGAGGUCCAAAAGCUUUUGGAAGCAGGUUUCAAAUGAGAAGUCAACUACCCAGACUGGCUAGCUAAUGUCAUCGUGGUGAAAAAAAAAAGAAUGGUAAGUAGAGAGUUUGCAUCUAUUUCACAGACCUAAAUAAGGCAUGUCCAAAGGACAGCUUUCCUCUUCUACAUAUAGACAUGAUGGUCGAUUCGACAGCUGGAUAUUAGCUUCUAAGCUUUAUGGAUGCUUUCUCUGGGUACAACCAGAUAUUGAUGCACCCAGCUGACCAAGAGAAAAUCGCUUUCGUGACAGAGCGAGGCACAUUCUAUUACAAGGUUAUGCCAUUCGGACUCAAAAACACAGGAGUAACCUAUCAACGACCGGUAAAUCAUAUGUUCGCUGAGCAACUCAGAAAAUCCAUGGAAGUCUACAUCGAUGAUAUGCUGGUGAAGUCUUUGAUUGCAAAGCAACACAUAGACCACCUUAAGCAGUCUUUCGAGGUUCUAAAGAAGUACAACAUGAUGUUUAAUCCGUUCAAGUGUUCAUUCGGAGUAUCCUCAGGCAAGUUUCUAGGUUACCUAGUAACCCAACGAGGAAUCGAAGCAAAUUUGGACCAAAUCCAAUCAAUCAUUAACAUUCCAUCUCCAACUUGUAUCAAGGAAAUUCAAAGGCUUACUGGAAGGCUUGCAGCUCUUAAUAGGUUCAUCUCCCAAUCUUUAGAGAAAUGUCAAAAGUUCUAAACAUAUUAAGGAAAAAUAAAACUUUCGAAUGGACCCCGGCAUGUGAAGAAGCGCUUCAGCAACUCAAACAAUAUCUGACAUCACCACCAUUCAUGUCAAAAUUGAAAGAUGGAGAACAACUAUAAUGUACUUGGCAGUUUUGGAGACGGCGGUUAGUAGAGUCUUGGUCCGCCAAGAAGAUGAAAAGCAACUCCCAAUCUACUAUGUUAGCAAGGCAUUACUGGAUGCAGAAACCCGCUAUAGCCAACUGGAGAAAUUAGCCUUAUCACUUGUUAGUGCAACUCGAAAGCUAAGACCGUACUUCCAGAGUCAUUCGAUAGUAGUCGUGACAUCAUUUCCACUAAAACAAAUACUCCAUAAGCCCGAGUUGUCCAAACGACUAACCAAAUGGGCCGUCGAAUUAAGUGAAUACGAUAUUUCCUUUGUACCCCGUACUGCUAUCAAAUCUUAGGUACUCGCAGAUUUCAUCGUUGAUUUUGCACCUAACUCACAAGUUUUGGCCCAAAGAGAACUUCUCUGCUUGGCAGAUGGACCAGUAAUGGACAUAUGGAUGCUCCAGGUAGACAGGUCGAGAAACAUAAAUGGCGCAGGACUUGGCAUUUUCUUAACAUCACCGGAAGGAGAUCAAAUACAGCAGGCGGUUAGGUAUGAAUUCAAGGCAACCAACAACGAGGCAGAGUGCAAAGCACUCAUUGCUGGACUGGUCUUAGGAAAAGAGAUCGGAAUAACCCGAAUACACGUCUACUACGAUUCUCAGCUCAUUGUAAACCAAAUACAGGGCACUUUCCUUGCCAAAGACACAAAGAUAGCAUCCUACCUAGAGUUGGCCAAGCAACUCUGCAAAGAGUUUGAUGAGUUCCAUAUCACUCAAGUCCCACCAACUAAAAACAUCCAAGCAGACGCACUAGCCAGCCUCGAAGCAACUACGAAUACGAAACAAAGUAAGGUAAUCCCGAUAGUUUACUUGCAAUGGCCAGCAGUUCGAAAAUCCGACGAGAAUAAUAUUAUUUAUUCAUUCGAGGAACAAUCUUGGAUGACACCGAUCAUCAGGAAUCUACAAAAUGACGAGUUGCCACCAGACAAAAAUGAAGCUCGACAAACUAAAGCUAAGGUUUCGAGAUUUUACAUUAUAGACAGUAAGCUGUAUAGGAGAUCAUUCUUUGGACCCUAUCUUCGAUGCAUCAGCAACGCAAAGGUCAAAUAUGUCUUGGCUAAACUUCACGAAGGGGAGUGUGGUAAUCACUCGGGAGCCUGGAGCCUAGCGCAUCGUACACUUACCGCUGGGUCCUAUUGGCCAACAAUGCGGACCGACUCUGUUAAUCACAUCAAAAAAUGUGACAGAUGCCAACGAUUCGCCAAUGUCUCCCACCUUCCACCAGAAUGGAUCAACCCCGUUCUUUUACCUUGGCCGUUCAUGAAAUGGGGGAUGGACAUUAUGGAAAACUCUCCGCUGCUCCAAGACAACGAGUUUUCGUGUUGGCAGUCAUGGACUAUUUCACGAAAUGGAAUGAAGUCGAGGCACUCUCAAAGGUACAUGCAGGGGCAGAUCCAGGGGUUGGCAAGCUAGGGCAGCCGCCCUAGCUGGAUCCGUCGGGAGCCAUUUUUGUUGUCGACAAUAGAUAAACUUUUAAACUUAUAUAACUGGUAAUUCACUUUAUUUCCAUCCAUCUCUUGUUACUCAAUUGGUUGGAGGUUGCCAAUUCACAUUGGAAGUCUGGAGUUCAAAUCUCUUCCCAACCAAUUUUUAGUACAAUAUUUUUAUUUCUACCCUUUUUACCAAAAUUAAUGAAAUAUGGAGAGGUUUCGAACCUACCAUCUCUCUUUAGCAUAAUGGAGAGCCAAACCAUUGUGGCACUUGCUGAAUGUUGAAAUUUAAUUCAACAGAAUAAUAUAUGUUAAUUUUUUGCCGAAUGAAUAUAUAGUGAUUUUUUGGAUAUGUAGACGAGAAUGAAAUUGCAAAAAUAGGUAUCUAAAAAUAUAACUUGAAUUACUAUGAAUUAUUUUUCAAAUGAUGUAAAGAUUGCUCUUCCUUUGAAUUAUGGAGAACUCGGCAACAAUAUCAUUUGGUAAAUACUGUUCAUAUAUAUAACAAAAUUAUAUAUAUUCAUUUUGAAUAAAAUAAUUGUUAUAUUUAAAUUUUAGGCCAUGUUUCAUUUCAUUUCUUUUUUUGUUUUUUCAAAAUACAUUUUUUCAACCACACAUUUUUCAAUAAAAUAAUAUUACAUACAAAUUCAAAUUUAUUCUUUAUUUUUAAUAACACUUUCUCCAUCAAAUCACUAUUCCAAAAUGCAUUUUUUUUAAAAAGAGCAUCAAACUGGCUCAUAAUAUCUUAUUGUGAUGACGAUUGACGGUCGUCCGUACUGACUUAAAAUCCUAGAUUCGCCCCUGGGUACGUGAUCGUGAAGUUAUCCAAUUUAUCUGAAAAAAUGUGAUAUGCAGGUUUGGAGUCUCAAAGGAAACGGUCACGGACGAUGGGACACAGUUCAUAAGCACCGGGUUUCAAAAUUUCUGUAAAAAGAGUGGAACAUCAAACUAAACUUCUCCAUUCCGCGAUAUCCCCAAGCCAAUAGUCAGGCAGAAUCUUCCAAUAAGAUUGUCGUGAACACGUUAAAGAAAAGACUAUCUGAGGCUAAAGGAAAAUGGGCAGAGGAGUUGCCCGGUGUCAUUUGGUCUUAUUGCACCACCGUUCGAACACCCACUGGUGAAACGCCCUUCUCGUUGGCUCACGGUAUGGAAGCGGUCAUACCAAUAGAAAUAGGCACUCCAACAUUUCGGUAUGAAUGGACAACUGACGAGCAGAAUCAAGUCGAAUUGUGCCACGAGUUAGAUUUGGCAGAUGAACGAAGAGAAAGAGCUUUGAUUCAUACAGUUGCAUAUCAACGAAAAAUCACCCAACAUUUCAACAGGUCGGUUAGAACUAGAACUUUCAAAGAAGGCGAGUGGGUGCUGCGAAGAGUAUUUCAAAAUACCAAGGAAGCCGGUGCCGGAAAGCUUGCAGGAAUUUGGAAAGAACCGUACCUGAUCACUAAGGUCGUCGGGCAAGGAGCCUAUAAGCUAUGCACCCAAGACAGUAGAGAUAUCACCAACAGCUAGAACGUCAUCCACCUCUGAAAAUAUUAUUUUUAAGUCUUCUAAACUAUUUUUUCUAUUUGGUGUUUUUAUUUUCAUUCGGAAUCCGUACUGACUUAAGCAUCAGAGAGGCGAUGGCAGAAAUGCCUUCAAUGAUCCUAACCUUAUCUGCUUUCAGGAGAAUCGACGAGAAAGUGUCAAGCUGGAGCGCCAUCCACGCCCACAAACAUUAUUUCUAAGUCUUCUAAAACUCUUCUUUUUUAUUUGGUAUUUUUAUCUUCAUUCAAAAUCCGUACUGACUUAAGCAUCAGAGAGCCGAUGGCAAAAAUGUCAUCGGCGGUCCUAACCCUCUUUGCUCUCAGGAGAUUCACCAAAGGGAGAAAUGUAUCAGAUAUCAGACUUUUCUCAUCACCAAUGAUUUGGGAAUUCUUGAAUUUGGGGAAGAAAAUCUCAUGCAGGUAUCGAAAGCUAUUUUGGAGUCAAGAGAAAUAAGCAUAUAAAUUUCAUCGAGUCAUUUGGAUGAAAAAGACCACGUGGUCGCCUUCAAGCCAUUUGGACGAAUAAGAACACAAGAUUGCUGGACAAGGGUAGCAUUACCCUAACCGAGAGGCCGAUCCAAACGAAGACUCAACCGUCUCCAGAGCAGCUAAUAAAAUUACCUACUAAAUCAGACGGACUGGUAUGAUCCAGUCCUUUAUAAAAGUACUUUGAUAAGUCUGCUUUAUCUUUUAUGACGAGAAAACAAGUCCAAUUUCUGUUCCAAUAUUAUGAUCAUGCUUCUAUUACAAAUAAAAUUCUAUGUUCGAUACUUCACGAGUUUUUGACGGUUAGGUGCAUAACUCCAAUAAGUGUACAAAUUAUAUAGUUUGGAAAGACAUGAGUUCAAACACGACUCAUACAAACACUAAUACAUAAGCUUGAAAGAAAAUGAUGGCCGAAAAGCACACUUGGAAAACGUGCUUCCAAAGGCACCUUGACCUGCCCAUCAUCGGUAUUCCCGAUUCCAUCACCAGAUGAAGCCCCAACUUCGGGCCGCUCUUCUAAUGUAUUCGACAUACCAAGCAACUGGCACAACUUCGCAUAAUCAGCAAUAGCUUUAUCUACGUCCCAGCUAACGUGCCUAUCUUUCUUGUAAUCAUUCAUAAAAAAGGCCCGGGUGGCUAUCUCGACUUCCAAUUGGCAGUUCUCCAAACGGUCUUCUAGAGAAGUGAUCUGAUCCCCUGAAGAUUUCUUCGAGUUUGCAAGUUUCUCCUCCAAUGCAAGCUUCUAGCGAACCACCUCCCCUAGCUCAUCCAGCGCCUUCCUAGUAGCCAAAUCAGCAUCUUGCUUCUCUAUCCUCAAACUUUCAUUUUCCCACGCAAUGAAGUAUUCGCAUCCUGCAAUGAGCGCACCUUCCUAGCCAAGCCUAACGGCUUUGUUCUCCUGAAAGAUAGCCCCUUGCAGUACCUAGAAUCAACCAAUUGAGUUAUCCAUAAAGAAGUAUAAAAAAAAAUAGUAUUCCUGGAAUGCCUGAGCCGUCGUGUUUUCGACUACCUUAACUGGACCAAGUUGUUCAUAACGCACUCGAUCUUCAAGGAAUAAAAGUCCCUCACCAAGUGCAGCCACCCUAGGGUUAGAAAAUACGGAGGAGUCCGAUGGGAAGGUAAGUAGGAUCGAGUCAUCAUCUGUCGACAAUGGCCCCAGUCGAUCGCGUUUUCGGAUCAAGGGAAAGGAGCAUCGGGCAGCUCCGUCUGGCUAGAAACUCCAUCGGACGGAACUGGGUUGUCAGCUAGUACCGUAUGAGAAGAAACCUUUUUAGACUUCUCCUUUCCAAAGCAUCGAGUAAAGAUCGUACAACUUUUGACAUAAGUUGAUCCGCAAUCUCACGGUCGGUUGAGUUAAGUGGGCCAAUCAUAAGAAGGUUACUGCCAAGAAUUUCCAUACCUCUCUUUGCCAUUACAAUAGGGAUCUUAUAUCUUGAAAAAUCGGAAGGAAUACCUCUUUGUUCGGUCGAAAUGUGCUCCCACAAGCUGCUUGAAGAAUGGACUUUUGGAGACAAAAGGAAUUGGCAAUCCCUCCGAUCCUUAGGUAUCGCUAAGAUCUUGAAAAUGCGCUCUUUUACGAACAAUCCUUCGACUGGCCGCGUGUUGCUAUGAAGACUUGCAAGAAAAUGAAAUAAGAACCUCAAAUCAGUAAAGUGUAUUGAAAAUAAACGAUCUGCAAAACUUAUCAAGCCACCAUGCUGAAGGAAAAUGGUAACUCUCCGACCAAACCAAGAAAUAAGACCCUUUCCAGCCCUUAUCCCCAAGAGAAAGGCCAACUAUCAAUCGAUCAACAUUUUUCCUUGCAUUUAAGGAAAAAUAGCCCUUUUCACCAUUGUGCUCCCUGAUAAAGUAGCCAUGAAGUUGCUCUGGCAUGCUAAAUGAGAUAUCAUGCCACUCGAUUAAGACCUGAAGUGCUAAAAGCAAUCUCCAAGAGUUAGGCAUAAGUUGGCUGGGUGCAAUCUUGAAAUACUCUAAUAUCAUUGUUACCACGCGGGGAAUCGGAAAUCGAAAGCCAUCUUUAAAUGGCAACUCAUAGAAAAAAAAACCCAACCUGGGACAUUCCAUGAAACCCUUUCGUGCGAUCAUGGUAGACGAAGUUUAACUGAUGCAGGAAUAUCAUAGGCAUCUUGGAUUCUUACCAAGUAAUUUUCUUUCAGCUUCCUCGAUAUGUUUUUAUUAAACAUGAUAUCACUACCGCUUGGAUAGCUCUACUCGUGCCAAUCAUAUCUAGGCUGGUCAUCAUCACGACUUGGAUUGGACAAACCACUACUGAUACCAACACUCUCUAGAACAAUCUCAUGAGAGGAAUGAAUCCUCGGAUCGCCUACAAACCCCGCCAAUGUUGGCCCUUCUGGACAAUCCGAACCUAUAUAAUCGUCCAGCCACGAGUUUUCACCCGGAUUGUCAAACUUAUUUAUAUCACCAGUCGGCCAUGCUUCAGCCGAAAUUCCGUACAGAGCGUCAGAAAAAUCAAUCCAAUGCAUUGUUCAUCAAAAACAACUAUUCACUAGCAACUUCACUUCGCAAUGGAUCAAACUCCAGAAACACCAAAUCAAAACAUACUCAACCACCAAAGAACUUGGAAAAAUGAUUGAAGAACAUUCAAAAACAAAACAAUAACUUGAAGAAUAGAAAAGAAAAACUCACUAGAAUCUCAGAAGCUUCUUGAAGAGAACUCAGGUCACUUGAAAAAUGAUGACAUGAGGCCUUAAAUUAUAGAAGUCGACACUCUAAAUGAGAUGAGUAAACGAGUUCAUAAAUGCGAUCAGAACCAUCGACAAAAUACACUUGCCGAACCUUAAAAAUGAACGUGAGGCCUUCUAACUAAUUUAUCGUGUAGAACGCAUCGUAUUAUCUAGCCAGAUAAAUAUAUUUUCUUCCCAAUGGGCGCGUUGAUCUUUUGGGCUAGUAAACCAAGCCACAAAUAUGGCAUGGUCUAGAUAGAUCGAAUACCUUUUCCUUUCAUGUGGAUAUAUUCACCAUUUGGAAUGGCAAAACAAGCAAUGCGUAUGACAUGAUCCAGACGAAUCAACGAUCUUCUUUUUCGAUCGGAUGCAUCGAUCAAUCUAACUAGAAAAUCAAGGGGUACGUAUCGCAAGGCCUAUAUGGACUAAAAAUAAAUAAAAUUUUAUUGCUACAAAACCAUUCGGCAAAAUGCCAAGUGGUAUAUAACUCGUGCACAUGGACACAAGUUGUUGCAUGCAUCCCACUAAAUUGAUCUUACCACACGGCUCAGACCACCACAAAGUGGUGAUCCUUAUCAUUUCGCACGAUUUUCGAGCUAUGUGAACAUUGUAAUAUAUAUAUAUAUAUAUAUAUUGUAUAAUGAAUGUACCAUUCAAUAAAUUUUCAGAAAAAUUUAUCGCUUGGCCUCUGGGCCAUAUGAGAGCUAUUGACUCAUGUCGAACAAGACAAAUAUCCGACUUGCAAGCUAAAAAAUUGCACGGCUGGACAAAUGACUAGAAAUCUCCAUGAUAUUUUUAAUGACUGGACGAUUUUCACACACCACCAUGUAAUUAAAUGAUCCGUCCUACGAUUUGAAUUCGCUCUCAACCAAGGAUCCGAUCAUCCCUGAACUAGAAUUACUCUUCCAUUCAAGUAGAACUCGUAUAAAAGAAUAGGGGACAAAUUGUAGUGGUAAAAAUUAAUUUAUUAGCCCAAGUGGCCCAAACCAUAGAACAGGGUCCACAUACGAUUCAACCACGCCAUUAUCGGCCCAACUCAUUAUAACAAUCAACCUGAAUACACAAUCCAUGACCUACAUGUCAAUUCGAAAUCUCCAAUAAUCUAUUUUCCAGAUAGAUCACGUUACGAUCUAUCCAGAUCUGGUGAAAGUUAUCUACAGACAGACCUGAUAUCUUAACUGAACAGAUCGAAUUAGAUUUGGCUCCAACCAAUUACGUAAUCUCGGAGAAUCCCCGCCAAUCCCUCCUAGACGGUUACCCCACUCCUAUAAAUUCUGCAGUCGAUCAAGCAUUCAGGUAUCAGAAUCCACUGGACUCUAAUUCAUUUCUUCUUUCUUCCAUCUGGCAUUUAUCAAACUUUCAACAAGAUUUACUGACUUGACUGUCAGAGGGUCUUCGGCCGACAUCACACCGGCGUCCUUUUAAGAUCUUUUUAUGGUCAUUUUCAUUUAUUCUAUUUUUCUUAAGUUCUACAGGAUUGCUAGUGGCCUACCUGAUCCGAUUUCUUCAUUGUACAACUUAUCGUCUACAACAAUUAUUUCUUUUUAUCAAAAUUUACUAAAAAUCUGAUUUUAAUAUUCACAAAACACAUGUCAAUUUAUAUAAAAGAGAUAACAAAUCUUGAUUUUUGUAUGUGUUUGGUUUCAUUAUAAUCCUUUUAACUAGAUGAGUAAUAAGUCAAACGAGAUAUGUAAAUAAACGAAAUUGUUCUCCUAUCCAUAGUGGUAGAAUAACACUAUCCAUUUGCUAAUGUUGCAGGAGAACUUGACUUACGAUUCUCUCCAAAUAUGAGAACCGUAACUACGGUUCUCUUCAAGUAAGAAAGAUAAGACUUUCCAUUAUGAGCAAGAGAGCAUUUCUGUAUAAAUAAAAGUGUGGAUGAUCUUGUGAACGUGUAAUUAAAAUUGAUAGUUUGACUUAAACAAAUGGAGAUAUCACUUGGCAGUUUUAGAUCAAGAAUAACAUGUUAUUUUCUCAAACAUAAAAUUACUUACAGAUUUACCAGAUUAUAAAAAUUAUACUUUUUUUUUAAAUUAAAAAUGACAAAUUCACUCACUAAGGCAGCCGUGAAGCACAAAUGAAACGAGGUUACAAUAUACCAAGAUAUGAACAAUUGAGUCUAUAAAAGCAAUUGAAGCAAGCAACAUGCUUUUGAUGCUAAGAUGAGGGUAAUUAGCACAAGACGUCAUUAUCUUUAAGUGUUAUCGUGCAGAAUGUUUUUAUCUUUCAUUUUUUGACAUUUUCACCCCUAUUUUCACAUUACAUUGCUAAAAUGGUCAUUUUCAUCCAUUUUCAACACAUCGCUACCUUUUUUGGACAUUUUCAUUCUUAUUUUCACACUUCAUUGCGAAAAUCAUCAUUUUCAUCAACUUUUUCAAUUAAAAGUUGUAAAAUGAUGAAUAUACGAUCUCAUUUAAAGAAUAGAAAAAUAAAGAAUAAAUUGCAAUUAUACUCCUAAUUUUUAUUUUUAAAAGUACAAAUAAUUUUCAAAUGAAUAAUUAAAUACAAAAACUGAAAAAAAAAUAGAAGGGUAUAUUUGUCAUUGUUCAUUUUUUAUUGAGAAAAUUGAAUGAAAAUAAAAUUUUUCGUAAUGAAAGGAGAAAAUAAGAAUGAUAAUGUCAAAAAAAUGAAAAGUAAAGAUGUUUUGCACAAUAAUAUUGAAAAUUAAAAACGUUUUGUGCUAAAUACCAGAGAAAUUUUUUUAUUUUUGGAAUAAUAUUUUUGUUGGGGGAGAAUGUGUAGUUUAAAAAGAAAGAAAAUAUUUAGAUUUUUAUGUAAUAUUAUUUUAUGAAAGAUUGUGUAGUUAAAAAUAUGAGGAAAAAAAUUAUAUUUUGAAAUAAUGGGGGUGAAAAGAGGCUUAAUUUGAACAUUGAACUACACAUGUCAAACCUCAUUAUAUAAAAAAAUUGAAAAUUAUUUAUAAAUUUUUCAAAGAUUUUCUUUGAUUUUCAAAUUAAGAGGCUAUUUGACACUCAAGGAAAAAUGAAUUUUAAAAUAAUAGAUUGAUGAAAAAUGUGUAGAUAAAUUUUUUUAAAUUUAUGUGUAAUAUUAUUUUAAUAAAAAAUAUAUAAUUGAAAAGAAGAUAAAAAAAAUUUAUUUUGAGAAAAAUUGGAAUCAAGGUUGAAUUUUACUUAUUUUUAGUUUCAGCUGGUUGACUUUUAGAAGCACUGAUGUUAAAGCUACUGUCUUCUCCGCAAAUGCUUCUUGGACCGUUUAUUCAACCCUCCAGAUACCGGCUUCAUUCCUUUGCCAGAGCCUCCUCUUCUUUCACUCAAACAUCUCCCAAGGCAAGUCUUUUUUCAGGAAGAAUAUAUCUCAAACUAUAUCUUUGUUGUACUGUAAUUAGGGAUGUUAUUGACGUUUUGAUUAAAAAUAAAAAAAUUGAUGCCCAGAUGGAUUCGGAGAGCUAUAUGUUUGGACCCUACAAGAUCGACUUAAAGCAAGUGUUUUACUCUACUCAACUUUCUUAUGCUCUGGUCAAUCUCAGACCUGUUGUUCCUGGUGUGUAAUUCCCAUUUCUAGUUCUUGUUUCUUUUGUGAUUGAGCUACAUGAAUGUAAAUACAUAUAGAAAUGAUUUGUAAACUACCGAUCACAUGGCACAUCAAUUAGUUGGUGGAUUAUUUAAUUCCUGGAACCAGGGGCGGACCCAGACCAUUUGAACUGUGGGGUCAAAAAAAAUUUUUUUUUUAAACAUCUCAAGGCAAGUCUUUGUUCAGGAAGAAUAUAUCUCAAACUAUAUCUUUGUUGUACUGUAAUUAGGGAUGUUAUUGACGUUUUGAUUAAAAAUAAAAAAAUUGAUGCCCAGAUGGAUUCGGAGAGCUAUAUGUUUGGACCCUACAAGAUCGACUUAAAGCAAGUGUUUUACUCUACUCAACUUUCUUAUGCUCUGGUCAAUCUCAGACCUGUUGUUCCUGGUGUGUAAUUCCCAUUUCUAGUUCUUGUUUCUUUUGUGAUUGAGCUACAUGAAUGUAAAUACAUAUAGAAAUGAUUUGUAAACAACCGAUCUCAUGGCACAUCAAUUAGUUGGUGGAUUAUUUAAUUCCUGGAACAUACCAUAAACUUAGGAGACCAUUUCUCUCAAUCCAUAUGUGUGUGUGUGUGUGUGUGUUAGCACCUCAGUGGGUUUUGUUUUGUUGUUUUAUGCUGUUUCCGGAACAGUUUUGUAGAUAUAACUUGUGCAAUGCACGGGGGGUUGACUCGAAGAAUAUUGUAAUUUGACUGAAUAGUUGAAUGCAGAAAUUCAAUGUCUGUACAUCAAUAGGAUUCUUGAUCCCCAAAAAAGAAGGGAAAACCUUAAUAUGGCCUUCAUGUCUUUCAGUUAGAUGCAUGAUUAAUUAAAUGAGAAAUCCGAAUAGACGCAAAAAUUUUGAGAUGAGGCCAGUAGACAAUGGAUUAAGGUAAGAGAAACUUCUAUUUAACAUAGAGAGAACAGUAUAACAUAAACAUAUUAGCGCCUCAGUUGGUGUCAUUUGUUGUUUUAUUCUGUGGCUGGAACAGGAUUUUCACUUGUUAUGCAAAUGUGAAUGAUUCACGCAGAAAGAUUUUAUCGGCAUCAUGAUGGCAUGAUCUUGUAAACUAAAAUUUUCACUUCAUAAUUUUAUUAGGUAUUUGAUGGGGAAAAAAUAAAAUCUUUCUUAUGGAGAAUGUGACUGACAUCCGUAUUUUCACUCAUGUGGAUGUUUCCUUUUAGGAUUAUUAUCUGUCCCUCCUUUUAUUUUAUUUUAUUUUUUUUUGAGUAAAAGAGAUGAUACUUGAUGCUUAAUGCACAAGGCCUUGCCCACGUAUAUUUUUGGUUUUAACAUCUUUAAGUUUUCCACUCUGUAACUUAUGUUAAUUGUUUUCCUUUGCAGGUCAUAUCCUUUUGUUUUCGAUUUUAAUAGUGCGUGAUGAUUUACUCAAGCGUAUAUACUGUUUUAUGGAGUUACAAAGGUAGUAGUGGGGUAGAAGGAACUGCUAAUGUGGUUAAAUAUAAGAAAUCAAAUUGAUGCUUUCUUGUAUUCCCACUUAAUAAUGAUAAGUUGCAUGCAUUUAGAAUUAAUUAUACGGAUAUUCCUUAAGCCUUGAAGCCCUGGCAAGGGAUUGAUUCUGCCAUUCUAAUAUUGUUAACUGGUGAUUGGGGGGUUUGCAAGUGUAUUUGCUUGUAAAUGAAAUUAACAGGUUUAAGCUAAGCUUGCACCUUUAUCUGAAAGAGACAUAUCAUGACAUAAUAUGUAUAUGUAUUCCUAUAGAAAUUCUGUGGAGAUGCUACCAUAGCGCUUUUAAAGGAGACAAGUUAAACCAUAUUGGCUCGAGUAUCUUCCUUUUUCAGGCUUUUAUUUAGCUUUCAUAAAAAAGGAGGAAAAAUGGAAAUUGAGGUAGAAAAGAAAGCCUUUUGGUUAGUCUCAAUCUACUCUUGCAUUUUGACUUCUUUGGUUGACUUGACACAACGUACAUGUGCUUAUCUGCCCAAGGCGUGAAAUUAAGCGCUUUGUUGAUCUCACUGCUGAUGAGACUAGUGAUAUAUGGCUUACAGCGCAGAAGGUUGGCCUACAGCUUGAGUCCUAUCACAAGGCAUCUUCACUAACAUUUACAAUCCAAGUAAGAGUGAUGCUAUACGGGAGAGAAACUUAUCAUAUAAUAUGGUUGACUAACUAUAUUCUUCAUAAAAGCAACAAAAUGAAAAGAGAGAAAAAAAAUCCUCCUCCUGCCCAAUAUGCAUUCUGAGCUUCGACUUUUUGAUUUAUUACAUCUUUUGAUUUAAAUAAGAAAGGAUUUGCUUAUGCUGCAAUUUUUUUAACUAAGGCAAAUCCUCUGUUGCAUUUUCUGUUCUUGGAGAAGACCUACAAUUUAGCAUUACCUAAGAAUUUCUACAUUUGGUAGCUGGCAUUGUUGUUUAAUUAACUCCAUUUGAUCCUGGAAGCCCCAGCUUGCUGACAUUUAGUGAUACCGCAGGAUGGACCUCAGUCUGGACAGACUGUUCCUCAUGUUCACAUUCACAUACUCCCACGCAAAAGAGGCGAUUUUGAGAAAAACGAUGAGAUUUAUGAUGCUGUAAGACACUUCAAUCCUUGUGAAGGUUGGCUUAACUCUAAACUGAAAUAAUAUAUUCUUCCUACUGUUGAUACAUUUCACAGAUUAAAGAGAAGGAGAAGGAACUUAAGCAAAAGCUUGAUUUGGAUGAAGAAAGGAAGGACAGAACCAUAGAAGAGAUGGCUGAAGAGGCAGCCAACUACAGAAAGCUUUUCACCUAAGCUUUGUAUCAAGUUGUGGUUUCACAUUCCGAAUUUGAAUUCACGACAUGUGUGCUUUCUUAGGUUAUAUACAUGGUCAGAGUUUAUAUUCAUGGUUUACUGUGUGUAUAAUUUCUAGUUUUCCACCAGAAUAAGGAAUUAUUCUUGAUGAACAAGAUCAGUAAAAUUACACAGGAUUUAAUUGCUGCUCUUUUGGAUGUGGAAGACCACAUAUUUUGUAUUUUAUGCCAUUUAGUUUGUUUGUUCCUCUUGUAUAACUUGUGUAAAAUGAGUCCUAAGUCAUCUAAGAAAUGUAACGACAUGGCAUGUUUGUUGGGUUGUACUAGAUAUGACUAGAUAGAAUAGUGAACGAAAUUCUUUCUUAUGAUGUUGUGUGAUAUAAUUUACCAAACAAGGCAUGAAAGUUAACAUGAGAAGAAACUAAUACCCCAGUUGUUCAGACCAAAGCACUAAUUUUCCCUGAUUUUUGCUGUGGUGGUGGCAAUGGUGGCCGAAGUGUGAUGGUGGCGAGGUUGGCGGAUAAGACGAUUUUUAUUUUAUUUUAUUUCUUCAAUUUUUUUCUUAUCCUUUUUUCUGAAUUCUCUAUAUUUAUUUUUAAUAUUUUAAUUAAGAAUAAUAUAAUGAUAAUUUUGCUCUUUAUAAUUUUUGAAUAUGCUAAUCUAAGUUGAUUAAGACUGGAUGUGAGUCGAGUUGGAAGGUUUCGGGCCUAAUUUGACAUCGAUACUUUCUAAGCCUUUGAGCCCUGUUUUGGGAGAAAAAAAUGCAAUUUUAACAGUGUAUUAAUGAAAAAUGUGUAGUUAAAAAAUUUUAAAUAAAAGUUUUGAAUUUGCGUAUAAUGUUAUUUUAUUGAAGAACGUGUUGUUGAAAUACUUUUAAAAUAAAAUUUUUUUUUUCCAAUUCAUUUUAAACUACACAUUUUCAGAAUAAAAUAUUCUUUACUUAAAUCUAUAUUUUUUCUUUAAUUUUUAACAACACAUUCUUUCAAAUUUUACCAUUCAAAAGUUCAUUCUUUCCAAAAAAAAAAUUCGGUCAAACAGGGGCUUUGAUUUCCAUUAUUUUUAAACUCUUUCUUCUAUAGAGCAUAUUCAACCAUAUAUUUAUACAAUAAAAUAUUUCACAUGUAAAUUCAAAAUUUUUCCAAUUUUUUAACCACAUAUUCCCUUAAAACAAUAUUCAAAAUUCUCUCUUUUUAAAAAGAAUGGACCCCAAACGGGGGCUUAUUUAUACUUCUUAAGAAGUUAUGGGUCAAAAAAACAUUUUGCAUAAACGCCGGCCGCAUCGUAUGGCGGGAAACCAAUCCGCGCGUCCCUCUAAAUUUACGGCAUUUCCAAUUGAAAAUCACUACUUCUACCUCAUAUCAUAGUAUUCGACUCUCCUUCUCCUUCUCCACGGAUCCAUCACCCAGUCCGAUAAUCGAACACAGAAAUGGAGUCAAUCCUCAAGGUUCAUUUUCUCCCUCCAUUCUUACCUUUAAAUUUCUUCUUCUUUUGUUUUUUCUCGAACGUUUUUAACUUUUUUAUCGUUUUCUAGUACAGCAAUAUUUUGGGUUUUCGAAAUUUCGACCGUACCAGAAAGAAAUUGUGGAGAAGAUUUUAGAUGGAAAAGAUUCUUUGGUGGUUAUGGCCACUGGCAGUGGCAAGUCCUUGUGGUAAGCUUCAAUUUUAUUACCGUUUUUUGCAUUAUGUCUUGAUACACUUACUUGAUUCAAGAAAAUAUACUUCUGAUUAACUAUUUUUCGAAUAAAUAACAAAGCUAUCAGGUACCACCAUUGAUUGCCAAAAAGACAACUGUAGUUAUAAGCCCUCUUAUUUCUUUGAUGCAAGAUCAGGUUUAUUUCUUAUCUUCUUGGUAUUUAUUCCAACAUGCUGAGUGGAUGAAACUUAAUCGUAUCUACUAGAAAUUUAAAAAAAUAAUUUUAUCUGCUCGUUAUAAUGUUUAGGUAAUGGCAUUGAAGCAACGAGGUAUAAGAGCUGAGUAUCUCUCGAGUGCUCAGACUGACCGUAGUGCUCACAGUAAUGCUGAAAGUGGCCAGUACAAUAUACUGUACAUGACUCCAGAGAAGGCUUGCGUUCUUACAACCAGGUAAGCUGAAAAAUGAAAAUACUAUGUAUUUUUUAUGAAAAGACCUAAGCUUGGUUAAUUUGUUUUACCAUCUCUGCAAUAAUGGCGUUGAGGCUAUUCUACUUAUGAAAUGCACAUGUAUACAAAUAUAUUUGGUUUAUUUUAUAAUGCGUGUCUCCUUUGUUUGUCUUGUUCUUUUUAAAAAAAUAUUAAGGUAUCUUUUGGACUCUAGUUCAUUAAGCUGAAGAUCACCAUGUGAAGUUUUUGCGCUUUUUAUUAUAGUUGCAAAUGAUGAUGGUGAAAGUGAAAUUCCCAAACUUCAUCUCUUCCUUUUUUUCCUUAUUUACCUCUACCGUUUAAGAGUUUCAAUUACUUUUGCAAUCCUCCAUUUAAUUGUGAUAAAUUUAUUCUCCUGAGUGAUAUAAAGUGGUACUGCAGUUUCUGGUCCAGACUGCUAAUUUCAGGAAUAUGUCUCCUGGCUGUUGAUGAAGCACAUUGCAUUUCAGAGUGGGGUCAUGAUUUCAGGUUGGUUCUUCACUAGUAUAACGAUCCAUGAUCAGUUUCUUAAUAUUUAGAGCCAUUUGGCUUGAUUACUGCAAAGACACCACGAUGUGAAGAAAAAUAAAGAUUGAAACUUGAAGUUUUAAUUGAUCUGAAAUCAAAACCAGGGUAAUUACACAUUUGUACUGGCCAUGUAUCUUGAGAAACCAGUUUUGGUUCAAUGACACGUGGCUGCAUGAUGCUACUGUUGUUUUUAUGUUCGUUUAAUGAAUGAGAUUUCUCAUGUAUCCUAGACUUUCAUCACGUGAGCUUUUAUACAUUAAUGAUAAUCAUGAAAUAUAUGAAUUGGAAUAUGUAGUGAUGAUAACUUAGAAUCAUGGGUCAUGAACAAUGAUUCCAUUGAUUAUGAAUAAAGAUUGACAGUGUGGAUCUAGUAUGUGAUGACUUUAUCUAUCACUUGUCAAUAAAGAUCUAUUCGAGUGUUAUCAAUUGGCACAUUGUUCAUAUUUAUCAGUGACACUGUUGCUCUACUUGACUUGCAAGAAAAGGGAAUAUGGGAAUUUGAAGUUUUGAACUGAAUGAUUGAAUGGAAAUCAAGUUGGUUGCUUGAGAUACUAUCAGAGUGGGUUCAAAUAUCUUACAGUUAGGAGACUUUGAUUUUAUCCCCCAAAAUCUUCGAGUGAUUGCCAUCAUUUUCAAUUGAACCUUGUUGCUCGUAAUAAAUUAUGGAUCUCACUAUCAAAAGUUAUUUUCUAAUUCUCAAAUGAAGGCUCAACUAAGAUCUGUCUGCCUUUCAUUUUUAGCUUCAGGAGUUGGAUUCAUCAAAUGACGCUUCAAUUGUAAUGAAAUUUGUUUUUCAAGUCUGUGCCACUUUCUGCUCCCGCCCUCCUCUCGUUGAUUGUUCUUAUUAGUCUUAUAAUUCAGUUAUGCUACUGUACAAUCGAGGUUGACAACCUCGAUUGACAACCACAUACAUGGGAGGGGGGCCCACACUGGAUAAAAAUAUCAUGGAUCCCUCCCCUGUGAGUAAGUUGUCAACCGGAGUUGUAAAACCCGGUUGUACAACUAAAAUAAUUCCUUAUAAUUUUCUCUAUAUUUCUUCUAUCAUCAUUCUAAGGUUCCAUUUCUUUUGUAGGGUUGAGUAUAAACAAUUAGGUAGGCUGCGGGAUGUUCUUCCAAAUGUUCCAUUUGUUGGCUUAACGGCAACUGCCACUGAAAAGUAGGUUUUUGCAUUUUGAUAUUGUUUUUCCAUAUUGUAAGUUCUGGUAGCCCACAGCAUUAUACCUGGUAAAUAAUUUGUCACAGUUGAAGGAGGCUGCGAACUAUGAAUUUCAGUCAAAUUCUGGCCAUUUGGUUUUGUAAAAUCUUUAUCUAUAGAAAAAUCCACAACAUUAGUUGAUGUUUCACUACAUGUAAACUUUUCAUCGGUCUUAAUCAUCUCAUAUCGUGGGCUCAGUUUAACAUAAUGAUGACAGUAUUUUCUAGUUCUUGGUCCUUUUCGUCUAUCUCCUGUUCCGAAUGCUAUUUUUCUAUCCUUAUUUUAAGCUGGUUCAGUUCAGAAGUCUGUGUAAACUCGUAAAUCAUGAAUCAUCUUUCCUGUCAUAGUUUUAAUUUAUCCAAUAAUCUAUCAGCUCAGAUUUUCUUUUUCACUGAGGUUUUGCUUUUAGUUAAAUCUGGUCUUGUAGAGCCUAUAAAGAGACUUCGUUUUUUGCAGGGUUCGCAUUGACAUUAUAAAUUCACUGAAGAUGAAAAAUCCUCACAUAACUAUUGGUUCAUUUGACCGUCAAAAUCUCUUCUACGGUGUCAAAUAUUCCGAUCGCAGUUCAGCUUUUGUGGAUGAGCUUGUGAAGGAGAUUUCUAAAUAUAGGAACAGCAGAAGUUCAACUAUAGUAUACUGUACAACUGUCAAAGAUGCUGAACAGGUUAUUCACACUUCUAGAUUUGUAAACCCUAUAUUCUUGUUUCUCAUGUGUAAACAUGCAUGUGGAUGUUUACCUAAAUGCCAAUCAUUUCAUGUAUGUCAUGGUCUUCUAGAAAGAUGAUGCGGAAAAACAUGUAUUCAUGAUGAUAUGUUUUGACUUUAGUUAUUCAAAUCAUGAUUCUUUAGAUUUUCAAGUUCCUUCUUGAGGACGGAAUUGAGGCUGGAAUAUACCAUGGUCAAAUGUCCAAUAAAGCGCGUGAGGAGUCUCACAGGUUUUACUUCUCACUAGAUUUGAAAUCUACUAAAAAUCUUAUUUUUAUCCAAACCAAACAAGGGCUUUGUAUGUUUUGUUAAAGGAUAUUAAAUGGUGUGCGCUCUUCAUUAUUCUUGGUGCAAUUACUGUAUAUCUGUUCAGUCUGGCAACAGAAAUUUUGUUGCAUUUCAGGGCAUUCAUCAGAGAUGAAUUUUAUGUCAUGGUUGCAACUAUAGCAUUUGGCAUGGGUAUCGACAAGCCUAACAUUAGACAUGUGAUACACUAUGGCUGCCCAAAGAGUCUGGAAUCAUAUUACCAGGAAAGUGGACGAUGUGGUAGAGAUGGCAUUCCUUCAACCUGCUGGCUGUAUUAUGCAAGAAGUGACUUUGGGAAAGCCGAUUUUUACUGUUCAGAAGCACGCACAGUAUUUUUCUUUUUUUUCCCUUUCGCUGAAUUUCUUAGAGUUUAAUAUUAAAGAUUUUAUGUAGAAGUUCCCAGUAUUUAUUAAUCUCUUUAGAUUGUUUCAAUAUUGCUUAAAUGUCUUGUAAAUGUAUGAUCAACCAGGCAGAUCAAAGAAAAGCAAUUAUGGAGUCAUUUGUGGCAGCACAACGCUAUUGUAUGCUGACAACUUGUAGAAGAAAGUAUCUUCUGGAGUACUUUGGAGAGAAAUACGGCUCUGUCAAUUGUGGUAUGGGUAACAUUUGGCCUUUCACUUGUCAAGUGCAGCAAGAAAAUUCCUGAACUAUGAUUGGCUGAGAAAGCCUGACAAUGGUGCAAUUAAAAUUUAAAUUAUUGACAAUUAUGAUGACGAGAUAGAGUGGGAUGAAGCACAUUGCAUUUAUGGUAAUCAGCUCUAGGUUCGGUACAGAGUAGUAGUGACCAAGAAAGAGAUGAGAAAACAAAAUAUGCGAGAAUGCAAAUGAAGAAUGCAUGGGAUAUCAUUAGGAAAGGAUGAGAAAAGAUAAAAAUGAAGGCAUAGAGAUAAUAAUCCAUUGUAAAUGUCGAUGUACAUGACUGGGUGGACUAUAACUCAUUUUUGGUGUCUACAAUCAUUCCAUUUAAUAGACAGAGUUUUGUUCCCUUUUGGCCAAAUAGUAUCUUGGUGCAUUGCUAUAUAUUGCUCAUUAACAUUUGACCAAGUGGAAAUUUCAUAUUUGUAUACACGCGAUGACAUUUCUUAUGAAGACAGUGGAAUUUCUCUUCUGGCUUUUAUAUUUUAUGGUCCCCCCCAAUCCCCCAACUUUUAGGAUUAGAAGUUAUAGAAGUAGCAAGACCCAUGAUUUUUGGCUUAUCUUUGGCCCCUUGAAUCAAAGCUUUGGCCAUUGCUUUCAUCCGGUUGCCUUCAUUUCAUGAUAAAUUGGUCUAAGAAAAUCUGUUUUCAUUCAUCAACAGAUUGAGAUGAUAUUUUCUCCUAUCUGAAUUUAUCAUGGAGAAAAGCUUUUGUUUUUCAGUCAACAAUAAUUCUUUAUAUGCUUCACUUUUAUGACCCUAAAUAGACACAUGAAAGGAAGAGGAAAAGAUUAGGCAAGAGAUUUUGGUCUUUGGACCUUGGUUUUUUAAGGUUAUAUAUAUUUAAUUUUGGCUAUAAUUUUGGAGUCACAUUAUUCCAGAAAUUAUCUUUUGAAUUACCUUGACACUAAAAAUAACUGGAUGUGUGAUGUGUGCAGGAACUUGUGAUAAUUGCACUAGCUCAAAGAAUGAGAGUGAUAUGUCUCGAGAGGCAUUUCUUUUAAUGGCUUGCAUUAAAGCAUGUGGAGGUCAUUGGGGUCUCAAUCUGCCAGUAGACGUUCUUCGUGGAUCUCGAGUAAGCUUCCCUUUGAUAAUUAAUGGUAUAUAGAUAUUCUUCCAUGGCAUGUAUGGGACCCAAGGUUGAAGGUUAAUUUAACAAUGGUAAUAAGGCUAUGUAGGUGACUAGACAAAAGUUUGUUAGAAAUGAUGAAUUGAGUUUUUUCUCUCUUUUUUCUUUUUUCUUUUUUUUUUUUUGAACAAGUGGCUUCGGUAUUGUGUUCUAAAUUUUGACAGCUGUGGAAAAUGGAAUUAAUACCCUCAUUAUGUGUACUAUUUAAUCUAUUCAUUGAUCUUGUGAUUUAGUCAUAGCAAAUUUACACUAGCGCCUUUUAUUUUGUCACAGUCCAAGAAAAUUAUUGACGCUCAGUUUGAUAAGCUUCCAUUCCAUGGCCUUGGAAAAGAGAUGCCAGCAAAUUGGUGGAAAGCUCUAGCUGAUCAGUUGAUUUCACGUGGUAUGUGGGAGUACUCUUUUUGUAUAACAGAUCUCUGUUUAUUGAUGUUUUACUUUACUAAGUAGGAAGGAGUGAAGUGAACACCAUAUUGCAUCCAACUAGGGAUCAAUCAGAACCACAUUGUACUGUUGUCUGUUGAUGAAUAAUUGUAUUCUUAUUAUUCAGGUCACUGAGGUUUAGCAAAUAUGAAUUCCAAUAGAGAGACCCACAGUAUUUUAAAUAGCUUGAACAUUAUGCUAAAUCACGACCAUGUGGAAGUGAAAAAGUGUUCUCAAUGUAGUCUGAGAGUAGAUUCAGUUGUUAGCUCUUUCAGUUUUGGAGUAUAGACAAAAUCAAUGGAGACUAAUGAAUAUUUAUUGGGCAUUGAUCUUUUACAGACAUUGCUGAAGAAAGAACUUUGUUUUUAUAAAUAUUUUGUGCACUUAACUGAUGUUAUUUGAUCACAAAACAUUGCACUGAAACUUUACCUUUUCUAAUUCUGGUCUAACCUCACUAAGAAUAUCAGCAGCUUGCUCUAUUUUAUCGGAUCUACAGCUGACCUGCACAACUGAAAUAUUGCGUGUAUGAUGCCAAACCAAACCUAAGAAACUGUUGCUUCUAAAAGAAAGGAAUACGAAUGCUUAUUUUAAGUCUUUAAGGAAAGGAAUUUGCGCUAGUCAUGUGUCUUAUCCUUCUAUUGUGCUCUGUACUUGGGUGCAGUCAGGAAGCAGUGACUUUGUAUUACUGUUCCCUUCUCGAUUUCUUUGAUUCUAUGGAUAGAAUAAUUUUAUUUGGGUGUUCUUCCAGAUGCUGUGAUUGUGGAUGGUUAAUAGCUUUUUUGUGUUUUGUGCAGAUUAUUUGAUUGAGACCUUCAGAGAUGUGUACAAAACUGUAAGGUAGAUUUCUUUCUCUGAUUAGUUUAAGGUAGAUUUCUUUCUCUGAUUAGUUUAUGAGUUUUGAGCUGUAAAAAUAUACUUUUCGCUGUCUCACACACUCCCAUUCUGUCACUCAUCAUCCGGGAGCCCAUUUGACUUGAUGGUAGUCUCCAAGCCCACUGCUUGCAACCUGCAAUAUGGCCUAAAUCUACGUACAAAAGUUGUGCUAAAUGGCUGGAUGUGAACUCUUUGCAUAAGCUUAUAAGUUGCUCAUAAUUUCUGUAAUCCCUGUUAUAUUCAAGUUGAAAUCACACCCUCCAUAAGGAUGCAACAUCAUUGUUGCAUGUAGCAAAGAACUUUGUCAUAAUACUUAGUUUCCAAUUUCUGGCUGGCAUCCAGAUGUACGAUAUUUGUCACUUCCUGUAUCCAGAUCUGUUUUCCUUAUCAGCCUGUCAUCUGCCAUCAUGCCUGCAAUAAACUGAGCAAGGGUAGAUUUUCACAUGGCAAGUCUAUUCAUUGUUGCUUGUGAUGAGUUCAAAACGUUUGUUCAUGUUCAUUAGUUCUCUUCAUGAACAAUUGGCACCAAAGGCUCGUGUUUGUCCUAAAUAUUAACUCCCAUGCCUUUCUUGGUUGGACCAACCCUUUUUUCUUUUGACGAAAGCGGUUGAGUUUCUGUGCCCGGAUGAUCCGGCACUCUUCUUGCUUCGUCUGCUUUUCAUAGUCAAGAUGUGCCCGUGGGAUGAGACUUUAGGGAGAGACUCUCUUUCUUUCUCAGAUUGAAAUGCGGGUCUGUGUUCGGACACACUUUCUCUCUCUCCACCAUAACAAACUUUGCCGAAACGUCGACCGCAAUCAUCGUUGAUUGAAAGUGAAUAUUCAAAAGAGAUAAAUUGUGACAUCUCAAAUAAGGAGAUGCAAGAUUUACUGCAGGAUACAAAUUAUGAAUUUGCGUAAAUCAGAAACUCAUUUGGUAAAUAAACUGAUAUGGGUAAGCCAAAAACUAUGCUUUUAGUGAAUUCUAAUAAAAUAUCAAUAUUGGACAUUCUCUUUUGCAGCCAAUAUAAUAAGAUUAUACUGUAAAUAAGCCCCUGUUUGUCACCCAUUAUUUGACAAAAUAAAGAGUUUUGAAUAGUAUGUGUUGGAGAAUGUGUGGUUAAAAAAUAAAUAAACUUUAUUGGUUUGUGUGUAGAUUAUUUCAUUAUGUGAAUGUGUGUUGGAGAAUGAUAUUGUAGCAAACAAUUUAAAAUUUUAAAGGCCAUCAAACUGGCCCUAAAUAUCUUAUUGUGAUUUUCCUUUCAUGCUUCAGGGUCGGACCAAAAGGAGUGGACUUUUUGAACUCUUGCACUCCUGAUCAUCAGCCUCCAUUAUAUCUUCCAUCGCCUACAGAAAUGGUUGGUGAUAUGAAAGGCACAGAUAUAGUUGGUGAGGCUGGAGUUGAUGGUUUGGCUCCUAUUAAAUUUGAGGGGUUGUGCCAGGUGGGCUUUUCUACCAUCCUUAGCAUCUUCUGCAUGUGAUUUUGAGUAGGACAAAAUUUUUUACCUUUCUCAUAUUUGAUUGUCUUUUCACUUCCUGUGUCUAUUUAUUAUUAUUUUUUCCCCCUAUGAUGCCUUGCACUUCUUUUUAAAGUUUUACCUCCAGAUGCUUCUUUUUUCAUCUUCAACAAUUUAACUUUGACCAGAACCUGUAAUGAUUUGAUUUUUAUGCUCGUCUCCAUCAUUUACAAGUUCAGGAAGAGGCACAGUUCUAUAAAAUGCUCGUAGAGGAGAGAAUGAAGAUAGCCAAAAAAACUGGAACUGCUCCGUGAGUUUUCUCAUUGUUCUUGAGCUGCUACAGUGCUACUUCCUGUGUCACACGAUACUUUAUCAUAUUGGUAAUUUUGGGUCAAUUCCACCACCUUUUUGAAGUGCAAUUAAUCUUGACAUGAUAUUUUUCAGAUGAACACUUGAAAAUUUGUUAAUACAGUAUACGGCAUGCUAAUCGUCAAGUGUUAUUUCUUAAAUUUAAGUGUAGCAAGAUUAUUUCACCUCAAAAUGUAGUCGACCUGGGACAAUAGUGUCACAGGAGUAUAUUCUAAUGGCAAGCUGCCUGUAUGAUUACACUAUACAACUGUACUUUGAGGAAUGCAACACUGUCUAUUGAUCUAUUUUAGCAUGCAGAUAUGCAAUAUGCGGUGAUCUAACAUUAAAAAGGAUAGCAUUGACAAGGCCAUCAACUCGAGCAAGGCUAGCAAAUAUAGAUGGUGUGAACCAGGUAUACCUUAAUGGCCAUGUUUCUUGUUCCACUAUAGUUUAGGUGGACGGGAUCUUACACAUGCUUGGAAUUUGCUCACCUGUACAUUUCAAUUUGGGGUUUUUCCUUAUAAUUACUACAUUUUGCAUUUUCUCUGUAUACAAUUAUCACAUUUGGAUUUUACAAAUGUUUGUGUUGUUCUAGCCCUCUUAUACAUAAAAUCUCAGAGGAAUAGUUUUAAUGCGUCAUUGGAGUGCCAUUGCAUCUUCCAUUAUUGGAUGUUAUAAAUAAGCCCUAGUAUCGAAGCAUGUGAUGGAGAGGGACAUAAUAUCUUGUCUCUAUAUGAAGGAAAAUUAUAAUUGAAUUGAAAUUGAAGUUGACAUCUCUGAUAUGAGUUACCACUUACCUCACUCGGAUUAGUUGGAAGAUGCUCCUCUUUCUCCNUGAAUUGAAAUUGAAGUUGACAUCUCUGAUAUGAGUUACCACUUACCUCACUCGGAUUAGUUGGAAGAUGCUCCUCUUUCUCCGUUGAACUAUGGUGAAGUCAUAGUAAGACAACUCCAUACUGUUCUUGCAAUAAUGCAUCUUCUUCAAAACUUGAAAAGGAAAAAAAAAAAAAUUACAUUGUUUGCUGUCAGUACCAGAACUUCAUUCUAAACAGAAUAAUCUUGAAGAUCUUUCAAAAUUUUCAAAUGAUGGUUGGGUUUCAGGAUCAGAUCGGUUAGAGGGCUGCUGUAAAGCUUGAUUUAACUUCUAAAUUAGCCACAGAAACUCGUCAGCAUUUUCUUCAUCCUCUUCUUGUUGGACCUACAGGAUUUAUCCGCAAACAUUUUUGCGUCGGUUAUAUUUGCUCAAAUAUUUGUUGCAAUAUUUACUCAUUGAUUGCUUUAAAACUGAAGAAACCAUUGUUUUUUAGACAUAACUACAACUUGAGAUAAAAAUAGAAGGGAAUGCAUCAGAUUAAGACUCUUGAUCAUAUUGUAUCUUUAUUAUCUGGUUGGAUGUUUGUAUGCGUAUUAUAUCUGAUUUGUUAGCUUUGAUAAUGUGUCGUAGCACUUUCUAAUUACACAUGGAGAUUGUUUGCUACAAAGCAUUCAGCAUUUAUCAAAAGAAUUGAAUCUUGCUUUGGAUGGGGAGCCAAAUACACAAACUCCUACGCCAAGAAAGGUUUCCACUGUACCGAACAACAAGAAGUUAUUGCCGGCAAAGUUUGAAGCUUGGAGAAUGUGGCAAGAAGAUGGCCUUACAUUCCAUAAAAUUGCCGUAUGUCUUGACACGGUUGCUUGUAAUUAAGUUAUGCCUAGAUUUUAGCGUGGACUUCUGUUUUAAUUUCUGCUUUGUAGAAUUUCCCCGGUCGAGCAGCUCCAAUAAAAGAACAAACUGUGAUAGAUUAUCUUCUUGAAGCUGCAAGAGAGGGAUGCCCAAUUGAUUGGACCAGAUUCUGUGAGGACAUUGGAUUGACGCGGCAGCUAUUUACGAAUAUUCAGGAUGUUGUGUCAAAAGUUGGCAAAGAGAAGCUAAAGCCUAUCAAAACUGAAUUACCAGAAGAAGUAAGCUUUAUGAAUUAAAUAUUUUAUAUAAAUGCAUUCGGAACUAAACCUUUUAUUAAGCAUUGAUAUUAUCAUAGCAUGUUUAGUAAGGUGGAAUAACAUUACUUCUAAAGAAAAAGUAAGUUAAAAUGCAGUCAAGCGUACCGAAAUUUGUAGAAUAUUAUAGUUGUGGGUCAUGCGUUCUAUGAUGCAAGGAAUGAAAUGAACUAAGAUUCCAUGUGUUGUGAUGAUAUUUGAUAAUUCUGCUGUUUAUAAAACUAGGUAACUUAUAGCCAGAUCAAGGCCUACUUGCUGGUGCAAGAGAUGGGAAUAUCGGUUGAAGGUAUAUCAUCUGGCCAUCAUCACGGCGGUGGAGUAGAGGGUCGACCCAAUCAUGAAUCACUUGUGGACAAUGCAAAUGGUGGUAGUUCCCCAAGGAAAUCUAAAGCCACAAUUUCUGAUCUCAUUGGGAGUGCAAACGCAGAACGGCUGCCAUUUGGUACUGAUGGUUCACCGAAAUCUCGGAAACGCCAAAAAGUUGAUGGGCCACAAGUAGAACGAUCUGCUACGGUCGAGGCAUCGGAAAGUUCUAUAUUACGCUGGCUUGAGAAUUUUGACGAUGGGGUAAGUGUUGAACCUCUACAUUCAAUAUAUCGUAACAGCAUUAUUAUAUUCUAGCUCGAGAAGGUAAUGGCAAAAAUGUGCAGGUUUCACUAUCUGAUCUCUUGGAACACUUCAGUGGAUCAAAGGAAGAGGCAAUAGUUGAUCUGCUAAAUAAUCUGGAGGGUGAGUUUUUAAUUUUUAGAAAGAACAAUCUGUAUAGACUUAUGUAAUGCUAUGGAUGCACGACGCUUCUUCUGUAAACAUCUCGAUGAAUGUCAUGAGAGGCCUUCUUGCAUAUAAUACACGUAUAUAUCUCGAAUGGAACCUAAGGAAGCAAAGGAUUCGAGCAAGCAUUAACACGUUUUGAGCUCUGACUCAAGUGUAAAAUUCAACCAGCAAUAUCUCACUCGAAGCUUAGUUCUCAGAUCGAAAAGAUGGCAAGCUAAAAAGCUCGAAGUUAAGGACACUUGCAUGGUUCAAUUCUAUAUCUAAUGAGCUUUUAGGAAGAAUGCCACAAGGAAUCAAGAUUUAUAUUCUAAUAAAAGAUAGGAAAUUGCUGAAGACACUAACAGAGCCCAUAUUAUGAUUAAAAACUAUGAACUACAAAAUUUUACAUGACCGCCAACUGUUAGAAGCUUAAGCAAAUUACUCCUUACCAAGAUCUCUCUAUCAAAAAGAAGUUAGUUGAAAAUCUAACCAUCAAAGUCAAGACCCAGAAGCCAGUAACAACUUUAACAUAAGUUCCCUUUGCUCCACAGAAAAUAGGAGCUUUUGGUAAAUUGUGAAACAAAAUAUAAUCAAAAGUUAGGUCAAUGGCCAUGUAAAAGAUCCUCCGGAUCCACUUCUACCCCAACCCGCCUUUUGAAGGAGGCACAAGUCUCUGGAGGUAAUUUGCAUUUCUUUUGCAACUUCACAAACCUCUGAAUGUCAAAAUUAUGUUUCUUGAUGAGUUUCCUUUGCCUAGAUAGGAAUAGCCUCUUUAGCAAGUCUUGGUAAGAAGGAUCUUUUGAAGUGACUAAGAAGUAAGCAUAGCCUAUUACUAUUCCAGUUGUCGUUGUGAAAAAUGCGAUUGGCUCCAUAACAUCCCAAGAAAAUUCCCAAAAAGUCAGACGAAAGAAAAGCCCGACUUGUACCACGGAAAGACCAAGUCCGGUCCACAAAAUGCGACGGACUUGCUUGUGAGCUAGCAUGUCAAUUUCUUCCUUUUUUACUUGCAACUUCUUAAGCUCGUCCUUGCUUUGAUCAUCUUCAGAUAAAAGCGCAAGGGGAACUGCCCUUCUAACAAGAUCAACCACCUGAACAAGAAAACCAACGAGAAAUUACAUAGUUCGACUCCAAGAGAGUACAUUGUGAAGCUUCUGAUAUCGUACUAAAAUGCCUCUUUAAUGCAAACAAUAUCAUACCAUCAGCAAAUGCAUGAUACAAAGAACCGAAAGCAAAAGCAGACAGAGAAACAAAAAGGAAAAAAAAAAAAAAUACCAACUUCUAUGAAAACCAUUGACAACCAAAUCAUGCUAAGUUUGGCAGCACAGGGUCGGAGAUCUUAACAUCUAAGCCAAAUUUAAUUAAGAUGAUUUCAAACACAAAUUACUAAUCGAUAAACUAGAUAUUAGUCAUGGCGAUCUAACUCUCUUUCAACCUGUUUCUUAUAGCAAAAAGUUAUAGAUCAUUAUGAAUCAAAUCCAAUGUUUCAAACCAUAAAAUUAAAGGAUAAGAACUCAAUAUAUGGGAUUUAUGAUCCAACCAAAAUCGAUCAAGUUUUGAAUUCCAUUUCACUUAAAACCACAAUUUCAAUAAGCAAGCUAGCGAGCCAAGGAACUGGACAAUUGAGGACACGAGAAACACAACUAUAUGAGAAAUCCACGACGCGUUUCAUGAUCAGUCUAAACUGUAUGUUCUUUUCUUCAAAAUCCCCAACUUAGAGGUCAUGGUAAAGAAACUCAAAUCUGUACUUUUACAUUUCAUUUUAAAUCCAAGAAUUUAACAUUGAUUUGACCCCACUGUUGGAAUUAGUUUCAUAUCAAACAGAUUGUUUAGAUACAGUGGUUUCUCCAUCAUCUUUUUGUAAUAUUCAAUCUCCCUUUUUCUUAUGGGAACAGAAUAAAUCUUUUUAUCUUCCUCAACCCCACCAGUAAAGCAGUAUCAUACAUACCCCAAGAAUCCCUUUUGGAACCACAACUUUAUUUCUAAAUCAAAUCCCAAAGCGGUAUUAAAACACAUAAUGAACACACACAGAUAUAGUAUAGAUA